rnacentral:rRNA from 1 species
CGCGUAGGCGGUUCGCUAAGUUGGAUGUGAAAACUCUGGGCUUAACCCAGAGCCUGCAUCCAAAACUGGCAAACUGGAGUACUGGAGGGGAAAGCGGAAUUCCUGGUGUAGCGGUGAAAUGCGUAGAUAUCAGGAGGAACACCGGUGGCGAAGGCGGCUUUCUGGACAGUAACUGACGCUGAGGCGCGAAAGCUAGGGGAAGCAAACA